ensembl:snoRNA
UACAGCCAUAUCAAAUUCGGUGCUGUCCUACCAUGGUAAGCACUGACCCAAGGGUUGCCAUAGAAACUGUCAUUCUUGGGCUCUAUUUUCCAUACUUGGGGUCAAGGAUGAACUUAUUCACAAACAACA